rnacentral:lncRNA from 1 species
GACCAUGGCUUGCUCUUUCUCCUCUUUCUUUUAUCCCCAACGUUGUAAUAAUUGGCCGUGUACAUCCCCAGAUGUAGAGGCCGGAUAUUUAUAUAUUCCUUAUCUAAAAAAAUGUAUAGUGAUUGUAAUAGUGUAAUAAAUCCAUGUUCCAUCACAGACCUGAUCAGUCAGUCACCACGAUCGAUUUAAUUGCUUCAUGUUCUCAUUGUUAUUAGAGUAAAGUCCAUC